rnacentral:rRNA from 1 species
ACGGCUCAGUAACACGUGGAUAACCUACCCAAGAGUCUGGGAUAACCCCGGGAAACCGGGGAUAAUACCGGAUAGAUCAUCUUUGCUGGAAGGCUUGGUGGUUGAAACCUCCGGGGCUUUUGGAUGGGUCUGCGGCUGAUUAGGUUGUUGCCGGUGUAAUGUACCGUCAAGCCUGUAAUCAGUACGGGUUGUGGGAGCAAGAGCCCGGAGAUGGAUUCUGAGACACGAAUCCAGGCCCUACGGGGCGCAGCAGGCGCGAAAACUCUACAAUGCAGGCAACUGCGAUAGGGGAACAUCGAGUGAUCCUCAUAUUGGGGGUCUGUCCACCCGCCUAAAAAGCGGGUGUUAGCAAGGGCCGGGCAAGACCGGUGCCAGCCGCCGCGGUAAUACCGGCGGCUCGAGUGGUGGCCGAUAUUAUUGAGUCUAAAGGGUCCGUAGCCGGCUUUGCAAGUCUCUCGGGAAAUCCAGCGGCUUAACCGUUGGUCGUCCGGGGGGUACUACAUUGCUUGGGACUGGGAGAGGCGAGAGGUACUCAGGGGGUAGGAGUGAAAUCCUGUAAUCCUCUGGGGACCACCGGUGGCGAAGGCGUCUCGCCAGAACAGGUCCGACGGUGAGGGACGAAAGCUAGGGGCACGAACCGGAUUAGAUACCCGGGUAGUCCUAGCCGUAAACGAUGCUCGCUAGGUGUCACAACAGUCGUGAACUGUUGUGGUGCCGUAGGGAAGCCGUGAAGCGAGCCACUUGGGAAGUACGACCGCAAGGUUGAAACUUAAAGGAAUUGGCGGGGGAGCAC